rnacentral:sRNA from 1 species
AGAAAGAAUUAAUCGCAGAGGCUGAGAAUGAAAAAAAGGGGCUAAUGCAGAAUGCAACGGAGGUGAUUAUCCCGUUGCAAGAUGCCGUUGAUUUGGAGAUGGCGACGGAAGAAGAGAAGCAAAAACUCACAGCCUGGAAAAAAUAUCGCGUACUGCUUAAUCGUGUCGAUACCUUAAA